CACGCCCUAAACGAUGUCAACUAGGUGUUGGGGAAGGAGACUUUCUUAGUACCGCAGCUAACGCGUGAAGUUGACCGCCUGGGGAGUACGGUCGCAAGAUUAAAACUCAAAGGAAUUGACGGGGACCCGCACAAGCGGUGGAUGAUGUGGAUUAAUUCGAUGCAACGCGAAAAACCUUACCUACCCUUGACAUGCCAGGAAUCCCAGAGAGAUUUGGGAGUGCCCGAAAGGGAACCUGGACACAGGUGC
rnacentral:rRNA from 1 species